rnacentral:rRNA from 1 species
ACUCCUACGGGAGGCAGCAGUGGGAAUAUUGGACAAUGGGGGAAACCCUGAUCCAGCCAUGCCGCGUGUGUGAAGAAGGCCUUCGGGUUGUAAAGCACUUUCAGUGGGGAGGAAAGGUUGUUGGUUAAUACCUAACAGCUGUGACGUUUACCCACAGAAGAAGCACCGGCUAAACUCCGUGCCAGCAGCCGCGGUAAUACGGAGGGUGCAAGCGUUAAUCGGAAUUACUGGGCGUAAAGCGUGCGCAGGCGGUCUGUUAAGCGAGAUGUGAAAGCCCCGGGCUCAACCUGGGAACUGCAUUUCGAACUGGCAGAC